CCUCCCCCCACCCAGUGGGCACCAGUCUAACCACUGCAGCAUCUGAGGAUGCAGUAACCAGAUUACCCCCAGGCCCUGAUGCAGUUAGUGCUGGCUCCCGGGCUGGUGUCCUUCCACCCCCGCCUGGCCUGACUUCCCAUCUCGGCAUUCCUGCCCCCUCCCAUGGAGUAGGAAUGAACACUGGUCUGAGCACUGCUGUAGUCUGAGCUUUCGUUUUCCUUGUGUGCAGCUGUCCCGGCCUCCCUCCUAUUUCUCUCUUCCUGAGUCAUGCUGUCCUCCCACAUUUUGAGAUGAGCCAGCUUUGGUUUGGAGUCUGGGGUGGCCCUGUCAGAAGCAAGUGCACUGAGGAGGUGGCCUGGGUCCCAGUGCACUCCCAGCCUGGGCAGACCUGACCGUGGCCUGGCUGGCUGUGGGGACCAUGUGUCAUGGGGCAGGCAGACAUGUGCCCUGCACACCUCGCAGGCUGCUUAGAGGGGAGAUGACCCAGACAGAGGUCACCGUGCAGCCCAGCUCCAGGCCGACAGGGCCUGACAUCCCAUAUUGACAGGCUCACGAUGCUCCUCCCCAAGGAACGAGGCCAGAAGGUUCUGCUCACAGGUUUAUUGGACUGAGUAUGUUGUGACUUCUAAGGGAAGAGUCUGGGCAGAUUCAAGGUUACAACGCCUGUGGGGUGGGGUGGGGUGGGGUUCCCAGGGCCCAAGACCGGGAGCAGAGCCCCUCAGAGCUCAGCUGGCUUGGGUUCCAGGUGGCUGUGAGAGGUGAUGGGAAGUGAGCAGCCCUGUAGGGACCAGCUGGGGAGGAGGUGUCAGGGGCUGUAUGCCAGGGUGGGGCACAAGCCUGGGGCCAGAGCGUGCCCCCAGCCCUUGCACAGGGAUCCUGUGGUGCCCCGUUUCGUGGAGAUGCUCCGCUACUGAGGUGCCCACGUCCACGUGCAGGUCCCUAGCUGGGGACUCUCUGGCCCCACCAGGCCGGGUC
rnacentral:lncRNA from 1 species